AUUGAACGCUGGCGGCAGGCCUAACACAUGCAAGUCGAGCGCGCGGCGGACGGGGGAGUAAUGUCUGGGAAACUGCCGGUUGGAGGGGGAUAACUACUGGAAACGGUAACUAAUACCGCACACCAUCAGAUGUGCCCAGAUGGGAUUAGCUAGUAGGUGGGGUAACGGCUCACCUAGGCGACGAUACCUAGCUGGUCUGAGAGGAUGACCAGCCACACUGGAACUGAGACACGGUCCAGACUCCUACGGGAGGCAGCAGUGGGGAAUAUUGCACAAUGGGCGCAAGCCUGAUGCAGCCAUGCCGCGUGUGUGAAGAAGGCCUUCGGGUUGUAAAGCACUUUCAGCGGGGAGGCGUUACCCGCAGAAGAAGCACCGGCUAACUCCGUGCCAGCCGCCGCGGUAAUUC
rnacentral:rRNA from 1 species